GGUUGGUAUGAGUGCAAUGAUGCUUACAACUAAUUGGUUACAACCAGCUACAGAUUUCUUUGUUCCUUCUCCAUUGCUUCCCUUAACUAGCCACAC
rnacentral:Y_RNA from 1 species